GCAGGGGGUGGUACUUAGCAAAGGGGGUGGGUCUUAGGAUUGUUGGAAAGCGUGGCGUGGACAAGGCAGCCCUGCUCCAGGGGAGGGGUUUCCUGCCCGACUAGGACUCUGAUUCCCCGGGCUUGGGAGGAAAUGCAGGGACCUGGGAAAGGUCUCCUGUACUAGGUUAGGCAGACGUGGGGGCGUCUCUACAGCACAGGGCCUAACCCCAUCCCCAACGUGUCCCCAGGCCGGAUCACCUCAACAGUCACGUCAGACAAGUGCACUCAACAGAACGGCCAUUCAAAUGCGAGAAAUGUGAGGCAGCUUUUGCUACGAAGGAUCGACUGAGGGCGCACACAGUACGACAUGAAGAGAAGGUGCCAUGUCACGUAUGUGGCAAGAUGCUGAGCUCGGCUUAUAUUUCGGACCACAUGAAGGUGCACAGCCAGGGCCCUCACCAUGUCUGUGAGCUCUGCAACAAAGGUACCGGUGAGGUCUGUCCAAUGGCAGCGGCGGCGGCAGCAGCGGCAGCGGCAGCAGCAGCUGCAUCAGUGGCAGCCCCUCCCACAGCUGUGGGCUCCCUCUCUGGGGCCGAGGGGGUGCCUGUGAGCUCUCAGCCACUUCCCUCCCAGCCUUGGUGAACUCCUAGUUGGGGAGGAGGAGGGGGGAGAAUGGAGGAAAGUCCCUUGGUAUCCUUUCCCCCUCCUCUCUUCCCAUCAACUCCUCACUGCUUCCCCCACCACCCAAGGAGCCUCCUGAAGGAAAGGAGGAAGAAAUGUUUUCUUAGGGGAAUUCACUAGGUUUUAACGAUUUGUUUCUCCUGCUCCUCUUCUCCCUAUCAGACCUGCCCCCACACACACCUGUCCCCUUGGUUGUGUUCAAGCCCCCUGGACAGCGGGCAGGGAUGGCAGAGGACAGGAGCGGCCACUGCCUUCACCCCUCUCCUCUCUGUAACCCCCUGCCCUGCCCUUCCAGGGAUUUGUGAGCCUCCUCCCUUGGUGGUCCUUGCGCUCCUUCCAGUACCCCCCUACUGUCUGCUGCCCCUCCCUGGGGAGUUGGUGCUUUUUUUUUUUUCCAGGGGGAGGGAGGAGAGAAAGGAGGGGAAUCAAAGAUUCUGUCCUAGAGAGGGGAAAGGUGAGAUUUGAGAAGGGGCAGAAGCAGGGAAGGCAAAGGUUGGUGCCUUCGUAAGGCAGGGUUGUUUAGGGUCAGCCCUAAGCAUACUCCUUAAGACUCUGUCAGGGGAGAACAAGUCAAGGGGAGCAAAAGGAGCUACUUGGGCCGGAGGCAGGACAAGAAAUGGAACUUGAGGAGGCCAGGGUAAAUGGGGAGGUCCAGGGACUAGAGGUGCUGCCUGGGGGUGGAGGAAGGCAGCUGCAGUGUCUCCCCCUUUCCUCUUCCACCCCAGCUCCAGCCCCGGCCUUUUCAUCCCUCUCCCCCAAGAUAGAAGCUGUGGCCCUGGCCAUGUCAUCGUGUUCCUGUGUUCCCUGCAUGUUCCCUACCCUUCACCCCCUCCUCUUGGCGUGGAUCCCAUUCCAAUAAAUUUUAAAUAAAAACUUG